rnacentral:rRNA from 1 species
CCUACGGGAGGCAGCAGUGGGGAAUAUUGGACAAUGGGCGAAAGCCUGAUCCAGCCAUGCCGCGUGUGUGAAGAAGGCCUUCGGGUUGUAAGGCACUUUCAGUGGGGAAGAAAGCCUUGGGGCUAAUACCCUCGAGGAAGGACAUCACCCACAGAAGAAGCACCGGCUAACUCCGUGCCAGCAGCCGCGGUAAUACGGAGGGUGCGAGCGUUAAUCGGAAUUACUGGGCGUAAAGCGCGCGUAGGCGGUCUGAUAAGCCGGUUGUGAAAGCCCCGGGCUCAACCUGGGAACGGCAUCCGGAACUGUCAGGCUAGAGUGCAGGAGAGGGAGGUAGAAUUCCCGGUGUAGCGGUGAAAUGCGUAGAGAUCGGGAGGAAUACCAGUGGCGAAGGCGGCCUUCUGGACUGACACUGACGCUGAGGUGCGAAAGCGUGGGUAGCAAACAGGAUUAGAUACCCCAGUAGUC